AGCUCCAAUAGCGUAUAUUAAAGUUGUUGCAGUUAAAAAGCUCGUAGUUGGAUUUCUGGUCUGAUGCCCUGGCCCGCCGCGAUUUCGCGUGUGAGUGCCGGCUGUGCGUCUGCCAUCCUUCUAGAGAACGAUCCUACCUUUAACUAGGCCGGGUUCGCGAUCUAGAUCUUUUACUUUGAAAAAAUUAGAGUGUUUAAAGCAGGCUUUUGCUAUGAAUACAUUAGCAUGGAAUAAUAAUCUAGGACUUCGGUUCUAUUUUGUUGGUUUCUAGGACUGAAGUAAUGAUUGAUAGGGAUCGUUGGGGGUGCUAGUAUUGUGCGGCCAGAGGUGAAAUUCUUGGAUUCGCGCAAGACUAACUUAUGCGAAAGCAUUCACCAAGGAGGUCUUCUUUAAUCAAGAA
rnacentral:rRNA from 1 species